rnacentral:lncRNA from 1 species
AGAACUGCUUCUUGCUGCCGCCAUAUGAAGAAGGACGUGUUCGCUUCCCCUUCCUCCAUGAUUGUAAGUUUCCUGAGACCUCGCCAGCCAUGCUGAACUGUUAUAAACAUCUUGAGAGCAAGGACUAAAUCUUACUUAUCUUUAUUAAGAACUAACAGUGGAACACACAGAAAAUCCAUGGAUAUACUGUCAGACUGUCACCAAAUAUACAUUCAACAUUUUUCUUACUUGUGAGACUGAUUUUGAGAAAAUUUGCUAUCACAGAAUCACUAAACUUUAGAGCAGGUAAAGACUCCUGCAAUGAUUUUAUUUACUUGCUAUAUUUUACCAAUAAGAAAACCGAGGCAUAGAGAAGUUGAGACUUUCUACACACCAGUGCCUAGUCUUCAUGAUGCUUAUGCCCAACCCUGAGUCCUUUCCUCUAUAUAAUCCUGCCUCAUUACAUUUCUGAAAGACGGAGAAGUUUUAUAACAACAAGAUGAAAGACUUUGGAAGUUUACAGAGGCUAUCAGGCUAUCUUCUCAUAGACCCAUCAUUUGUCCAGCAGAAAGAGACUAAAAAGGCUUAUAAGAAUAUCAAGACCCCAAUGUUGUACUUAUGGUUUGACUUUAUAUCUCUGACUAAUUACAGAAUUUGAUUAUUAAAAAAGGUUUUUUAUAUCAAA